GACGAACGCUGGCGGCGUGCUUAACACAUGCAAGUCGAACGGAAAGGCCCUGCUUUUGUGGGGUGCUCGAGUGGCGAACGGGUGAGUAACACGUGAGUAACCUGCCCUUGACUUUGGGAUAACUUCAGGAAACUGGGGCUAAUACCGGAUAGGAGCUCCUGCUGCAUGGUGGGGGUUGGAAAGUUUCGGCGGUUGGGGCUGGACUCGCGGCUUAUCAGCUUGUUGGUGGGGUAGUGGCUUACCAAGGCUUUGACGGGUAGCCGGCCUGAGAGGGUGACCGGCCACAUUGGUACUACGAUACGGCCCAGACUCCUACGGGAGGCAGCAGUGGGGAAUAUUGCACAAUGGGCGGAAGCCUGAUGCAGCAACGCCGCGUGCGGGAUGACGGCCUUCGGGUUGUAAACCGCUUUCGCCUGUGACGAAGCGUGAGUGACGGUAAUGGGUAAAGAAGCACCGGCUAACUACGUG
rnacentral:rRNA from 1 species